ACACCAUCCCGAGCGGCUGAGAGAUCUGGCUCUGUGACGCCGCAGCAACCUUCGGAUGCGUCGAUCGGCCUCUCUGUGCCCGUCGCAUCAGAAAAGGUGCUACCGCCAGGAUCGAUGGGAG
rnacentral:ncRNA from 2 species